rnacentral:rRNA from 1 species
AACGCUGGCGGCGCGCUUAAUACAUGCAAGUCGAGCGAGAACCUGGGCUUCGGCCCUGGGGACAGCGGCGAACGGGUGAGUAACACGUGGGUAAUCAACCCUCGACACUGGGAUAGCCCGGGGAAACCCGGAUUAAUACCGGAUACCCCAUCUGGCCUUCGGGCCGGCUGGAAAAGGUAGCUUCGGCCUCCGGUCGGGGACGAGCCCGCGGCGGAUUAGCUUGUCGGCGGGGUAAUGGCCCACCAAGGCGACGAUCCGUAGCUGGUCUGAGAGGACGAGCAGCCACACUGGGACUGAGACACGGCCCAGACUCCUACGGGAGGCAGCAGUAGGGAAUCUUGCGCAAGGGGCGAAAGCCUGACGCAGCGACGCCGCGUGAGGGAAGAAGGCCUUCGGGUUGUAAACCUCUUUCAGGAGGGACGAAGCCACUCGGGUUAAUAGCCUAGAGGGUGACGGUACCUCCAGAGGAAGCUCCGGCUAACUACGUGCCAGCCGCCGCCGUAAUAC